AGCUAAUACCGCAUACGAUCUACGGAUGAAAGCGGGGGAUCUUCGGACCUCGUGCGGACGGAGCGGCCGAUGGCAGAUUAGGUAGUUGGUGGGAUAAAAGCUUACCAAGCCGACGAUCUGUAGCUGGUCUGAGAGGACGACCAGCCACACUGGGACUGAGACACGGCCCAGACUCCUACGGGAGGCAGCAGUGGGGAAUUUUGGACAAUGGGCGAAAGCCUGAUCCAGCAAUGCCGCGUGCAGGAUGAAGGCCUUCGGGUUGUAAACUGCUUUUGUACGGAACGAAAAGACUCCUUCUAAUACAGGKGGUCCAUGACGGUACCGUAAGAAUAAGCACCGGCUAACUACGUGCCAGCAG
rnacentral:rRNA from 1 species